UAAUACCGGAUACGAGGUUCGCAGGCAUCUGUGAACUUGGAAAGCUCCGGCGGUGAAGGAUGAGCCCGCGGCCUAUCAGCUUGUUGGUGAGGUAAUGGCUCACCAAGGCGACGACGGGUAGCCGGCCUGAGAGGGCGACCGGCCACACUGGGACUGAGACACGGCCCAGACUCCUACGGGAGGCAGCAGUGGGGAAUAUUGCACAAUGGGCGAAAGCCUGAUGCAGCGACGCCGCGUGAGGGAUGACGGCCUUCGGGUUGUAAACCUCUUUCAGCAGGGAAGAAGCGAAAGUGACGGUACCUGCAGAAGAAGCGCCGGCUAACUACGUGCCAGCAGCCGCGGUAAUACGUAGGGCGCAAGCGUUGUCCGGAAUUAUUGGGCGUAAAGAGCUCGUAGGCGGCUUGUCACGUCGGGUGUGAAAGCCCGGGGCUUAACCCCGGGUCUGCAUUCGAUACGGGCUAGCUAGAGUGUGGGUAGGGGAGAUCGGAAUUCCUGGUGUAGCGGUGAAAUGCGCAGAUAUCAGGAGGAACACCGGUGGCGAAGGCGGAUCUCUGGGCCAUUACUGACGCUGAGGAGCGAAAGCGUGGGGGAGCGAACAGGAUUAGAUACCCUGGUAGUCCACGCCGUAAACGGUGGGAACUAGGUGUUGGCGACAUUCCACGUCGUCGGUGCCGCAGCUA
rnacentral:rRNA from 1 species